UACGGAGGGGGCUAGCGUUGUUCGGAAUUACUGGGCGUAAAGCGCACGUAGGCGGCUUUGUAAGUUAGAGGUGAAAGCCCGGGGCUCAACUCCGGAAUUGCCUUUAAGACUGCAUCGCUAGAAUCGUGGAGAGGUAAGUGGAAUUCCGAGUGUAGAGGUGAAAUUCGUAGAUAUUCGGAAGAACACCAGUGGCGAAGGCGACUUACUGGACAGAUAUUGACGCUGAGGUGCGAAAGCGUGGGGAGCAAACAGG
rnacentral:rRNA from 1 species